UACGUAGGGGGCAAGCGUUGUCCGGAAUCAUUGGGCGUAAAGAGCGUGUAGGCGGCCACUUAAGUCCUGCGUGAAAUCUUGCGGCUCAACCGCAAGCGGUCGUGGGAAACUGGGUGGCUAGAGUGCGGGAGAGGAGAGUGGAAUUCCUGGUGUAGCGGUGAAAUGCGCAGAUAUCAGGAGGAACACCAGUGGCGAAGGCGGUGGUCUGGGCCGGAACUGACGCUGUAGAGCGAAAGCGUGGGUAGCAAACAGG
rnacentral:rRNA from 1 species